ACCCAGCUGGCGAGUCCCAAAUAGGACGAAAUGUGCCUCCUGGAU
rnacentral:hammerhead_ribozyme from 1 species